rnacentral:tRNA from 1 species
AUUUAUAUAAUAUAAUAAGUAUAUUUGAUCUCCAAUCAAAAAGCCUAAUUAAAUUUAGUAUAAAUA